ensembl:lncRNA
UUAAAUGUGUUUGAUGUCCUUCAAUUUUACUUAUCUAGUAUUCAUUAUUAUGUAUUAAUAAUAUCCAGGCUCUCGUUAUUUUUGAAUAUUAUAUACAUUUUAGUUCCUCAGUAAGGUUUGUAAUAUUUGUGUUCAUUUAAAAAGCAAAUUUUCCGAACAGCCAGAAUGAAUAUGGGAUAUCCAAAGUGUUAAAUCUUCAGACCUUUUUUGCUCAUAGGUCCACUUUCCAAAAUAUCCCAUCCUUUCACAACCCCUUACCAUCCAUCUACAGAAAGCAAAAAAAAAAAGAAAAGAAAAUAAUGUUAAAACGUAUUCUUACACAUAACACUGAAAUGAAAUCUCAGCUCUGGCCCACAUCACACACACACACACACACAGACCUGCGUGAAAAAAAAAAAAAAGCUUGCUAAGCUAUCCGUUUCACAUACGCAGGGACAGAAGGUUCGAUAUUCAUUCGAUCGAUGAAUGAAAAGGCACAAUGGCAAAAUCGGACGGGGCUCCUUUUCAAAUCCACGUCUCCAAUGUCCCCCUCCCCGUCACCCCUCUGCAGUCUGCAGUCGCAGGGCGGCCGGAGCGGCAGAGAGAGAAAGAGAGAGAGAGGAGAGCAAGGGUUACAUCAAGGCUGCUCCCUGGACCGUGCAAACAAGUCUAGACCAGUGACCUGUUCAAUGGCUCCUUUUCAGGAGCGGGGGCAAGUUCGCUCAGAGCGAGGAGAAAGGCAGGCAUGCUCUCUUUUCAGCGGCGAAGCAGCUCACAGCCCGCAACCGCCAGGAGGUAAGGAGGGCCGGGGGGGCAAGCAUCUGCUUCCAUGGUUACGGGCCGGGUAUGGGGACCCUACUAUUGAGGAGCCUCCGUUCUCAUGCUCCCACAGAGGCAAUGUCACGCAUCUUUAAAAAAAAAAAAAAGAGAGAGAAAGAGGGAGAGAAAGAGGGAGAGAAAGCGGCAGGGCCAGGGCGAGGGCGAGGACCAUAUCCACAGCAGCACAGAGUUGCUCUUUGAGAGGGAAAAUAAAAUGAUAGCACAUGUCUGCUUGUGGAGGAGAGCUGAGGAGAAAAAAAACACAGAGUUGGGAAACGCUUUAGUGAUGGGGGCGGCGGCAUGUGCUGGAUAAAGAAAGAAAUGCGUCACAUGAUCGUAGCGAAUCCUAAUUCAAAAGGGAGAAGAGUGAAAACUUGAGCUGCCCUGGACCCAUCAAGAACCACCGAGGCGAGACAGAUUCUGAAACCGGAAGCAGAGCAGUGGUCGAGUGUCUCUCUCUCUCUGUGUGAGUGUCUCUCUCAGCCCACAUGUGCAAGGAGGGAAAGAAGGAACAAGGAAGUCACAAGCGAGCCCUGCUGGGAGGCGGGUCCUCAGGCUAUGCGGGAGCGACACCGCAACCCCCCCCAGCCCCCCCCCCUCCCUGCCUCUAUCAUCAUCAGCAUCGUCAUCAUCAGUAUGCAGGGCCGGUCGGCCAGGUUACUGCUGGAGUCCGCAGUAACAGCUCGUCCGGAGAGCCAUAAAGCAGGUAAAGAAAAUACAUCAAGCCCCAUGCAGCGAGCCCUCCAGGGGAGAGGAACCCUCUGACCCUCCCCACCACUCACUCACACAGCGCUCAUACCCUCACCAAUACACAUGGAGAUAGAUGGUGUUUAUGCAUGGUUGGUUUAUGUUCUACUAUAGCCAUAGUUUAAUUUAUCAUCUAUUUAUUAUUACGUACUGGUUCUUUUCGUAACUUUUUUUAGGAUUGUUUAUAUUAUGAGGGUUUCAUUGUGUGUGUUUUCUUAAUGUGUUGUAUGUAUUAAAACUUAAUAAAAUCGUUUUGAUAUGGUGGAAUUACUUGUUGUGCGUUUUUCUGCCCGAUCGGUUAUCUUGUGGAAUUUUUUUGUGUGUUUAUAUCUAUGAACAUUGUGGUGUUUUAGAAUCA